rnacentral:rRNA from 1 species
CAGCCGCCGCGGUAAUACGAAGGGGGCUAGCGUUGCUCGGAUGACUGGGCGUAAAGGGCGCGUAGGCGGCCACGAUAGUCAGAUGUGAAAUUCCUGGGCUUAACCUGGGGACUGCAUUUGAUACUGUGUGGCUUGAGUGUGGAAGAGGGUCGUGGAAUUCCCAGUGUAGAGGUGAAAUUAGUAGAUAUUGGGAAGAACACCGGUGGCGAAGGCGGCGACCUGGUCCAUAACUGACGCUGAGGCGCGAAAGCGUGGGGAGCAAACAGGAUUAGAUACCCCCGUAGUCCCUGUCUCUUAUACC